AUUGAACGCUGGCGGCAGGCUUAACACAUGCAAGUCGAACGGUAACAGAAAGAAAGCUUGCUUUCUUUGCUGACGAGUGGCGGACGGGUGAGUAAUGCUUGGGAAUCUAGCUUAUGGAGGGGGAUAACUACGGGAAACUGUAGCUAAUACCGCGUAAUAUCGAGAGAUUAAAGGGUGGGACCGCAAGGCCACCUGCCAUGAGAUGAGCCCAAGUGGGAUUAGGUAGUUGGUGAGGUAAAGGCUCACCAAGCCGACGAUCUCUAGCUGGUCUGAGAGGAUGACCAGCCACACUGGAACUGAGACACGGUCCAGACUCCUACGGGAGGCAGCAGUGGGGAAUAUUGCACAAUGGGGGGAACCCUGAUGCAGCCAUGCCGCGUGAAUGAAGAAGGCCUUUCGGGUUGUAAAGUUCUUUUCGGUAGCGAGGAAGGCAUUUAGUUUAAUAGACUAGAUGAUUGACGUUAACUACCGAAGAAGCACCGUAAC
rnacentral:rRNA from 1 species